AGUAUUCUGGCCACUUCUGGAACAAAUCCAGAGAACAUCCUCUGAUAUACCUACAUGUGUUGAAAACAGGUUCAGCACUCCGCUUCAAUUCCCCAGCAAAUGCCAGUGUGGAAAAAGGUUUUGUUGUCACAGCAUCCUGAUUCACCGUACAAUUGAUGGCCUUCUGCAAUCAGUAUGGGCCAGAAGCAGCCCACACAUAGUUGUCUUUGCCUCCGCAUACCCAGCCUUGGUCAUUGCUGGUGAAGUUUGCAUUUCGCCUGAGCUACGUGCAUUGUUGGGACUAUGUGUGAGCCCAGAAAAUCAUGAAAAUAGAGCUGGAAAUUUGCUCUUAGAGAAAUGAUCACACUUCUUCUUGCAAAGCAACCCCCAAGGGCUUCAUGGACCUAAGGAAAGAAAACUCCCCUACAGCCAUCCUAAUGGGUACGAGCAUGACCUCAUCCUAACUAAUUGCAUUUGCGAAGAUCCUAUUUGCAAGCAAGGUCACAUUCUGAGGUUCCAGGAAGGACAAGAAUUUGAAGGUAGGAGGGACUCUAUGAAACCCUGUCCUGUGGUAAAGAGGCUUUCCCUUAGGCAGAAUGCGAUUAAAGAGCACAGUUCCCAGAAAUAACGUUUACCAAAGAUAGACUCUUAUGUAUAACUUUGAAUCUGAGUAAUGAUGGAGGCUAAAAAGGACAGAAAUCAAUAAUGUUUUCCUCAUGUUCAUGGCUGAAUUGUUGUCUGUUAUGGAAGAAAACAGUGUUGAACUAACCAACCUGACUGAAAAAUGGAUAUCUAUUUAUCAUGGGUUUAAA